AGCGAACGCUGGCGGCAGGCCUAACACAUGCAAGUCGAACGAAGCCUUCGGGCUUAGUGGCGGACGGGUGAGUAACACGUGGGAACGUACCUUUUGGUUCGGAACAACUCAGGGAAACUUGAGCUAAUACCGGAUGAACCCUUAGGGGGAAAGAUUUAUCGCCGAAAGAGCGGCCCGCGUUAGAUUAGCUAGUUGGUGAGGUAAAGGCUCACCAAGGCAACGAUCUAUAGCUGGUCUGAGAGGAUGAUCAGCCACACUGGGACUGAGACACGGCCCAGACUCCUACGGGAGGCAGCAGUGGGGAAUCUUGCGCAAUGGGCGGAAGCCUGACGCAGCCAUGCCGCGUGAAUGAUGAAGGUCUUAGGAUUGUAAAAUUCUUUUACCAGGGACGAUAAUGACGGUACCUGGAGAAAAAGCCCCGGCUAACUUCGUGCCAGCCGCCGCAGUAA
rnacentral:rRNA from 1 species